UGAGUAAGUCGGAUGAUCGCAUGUUCAUUUGAGCAUGAGGAAAGUCCGUGCUCCAUAGGGCAGGAUGCUGGAUAACGUCCAGUGGGGGCGACCCUAAGGCUAGUGCAACAGAAAUAUACCGCCUAACUCGUGUUAGGUAAGGGUGGAAAGGUGAGGUAAGAGCUCACCAGCAACUAGGCGACUAGUUGGCUCUGUAAACCCCAUCUGGAGCAAGACCAAGUAGGGACAUAAAAAGGUGGUUGCCCGCUGCCGUCCCAAUGGUAGGUCGCAUGAACCUAUUGGCAACGAUAGGUCAUAGAUAGAUGAUCAUCUAAAACAGAACACGGCUUACAGACUUACUCAUAUC
rnacentral:RNase_P_RNA from 1 species